UGCUAGGAAGAAGCCAUUGGGAGGUAUUACACAAAUCCAACACUUCUCCAGCCUUCUUUGCAAGUCUUCUGAGAGCAUGAGAGCAGGAGCUCAUAUCAGAAUGAAUACAAAUCAUCUCAGCCAUUUCUGUGCAAGGAUAGUCAAAUGAGUGGGAGAUAAAGAGAUAGAAGAGAAAAGACGAGAGAGGACGCCUGUAGGGGGGAUCGGGACAGAAGAGGAAAGCAGGAAUUAGUUUCCAGUGAGUAGAGUCACUCCAGGAGCAGAGAGUGACGUUAAUGCGGUGAUCUGAGAGGGAAGGACGGGUCCCAGCAAGCUCUCCCAGCUUCUACGGGUUCCUGUAUGCCACAAAGAAAACAUGCUAAUCCAAGGCUUUGUUCUGAAAAACAAGUGAGCUGUCUUGCCUAAUGUAGCCUAUACCAGCGUCCAAAAAGAAAUGAAACCUCACACAGCCGGCACAUCAAGGCAGGAACGGAGUUGACGUGGGAUUAUAACUACGAGGUGGGCAGUGUGGAGGAGAAGGUUAUGCUCUGCUGCUGUGACUCAAUGCGGUGCAAAGGAAGACUGCGCUGAUCGGCCCCUUUCGACAUAAAACACUAAAGCUUGGUGUUCAACCUUACAGAAAUGUAGCUGUGCCACUAUUCUGGAAGACCAUCGCAAAAAUGUGACCCAUUGAAUAUGAUAAGUAUAACACGAUAUGCUAAAGUUUGUGUUUUGUUUGUUUUUAUCGUGUUUACCCUCUAGAAAUGUGAAUAGUCAUGUAUUUGUGUGGAGAAAACAAAACGAUUUUUCUUGUAAGAUUUGUCUUGUAUGUCAUUUUUAUGCGUUGGAAAACAAAGCUGAAUAUGAACAAUAUCAUUAAAAUGGGUAAAAAGAAAACUAUUUAUAAAAUAACUUAACUCUGUGUUACUCUUAUAGUAUCAACCAAAAUUACUACAAUUAUUGGUACUGUAAAAUCAUAAUUUAAUCUCUUUCAAAUAGAAACUUUCACUUCUUUCUGUUUACUUUUUUUUAUUUUUGUUAAAGAUACUGGUGCCCAUUGUGUCCAAGUAUUUGAUUAGUAAACUAUCAGUGUACCUGUAUGUUGUCACGUGUCGUGUAGUUUAGUUGCAGCACAAAUUAAACCUUAGUUAUAAACUAGUUGUGUUCUCAAAGUGUUACACUAAUACUGUUAUACAUUAAAAUGUGGGCCAAUUUAGCCCCACAUAUUGGCAUACGUAUACUAGUUCAUUGAUACUUACUUAGAUAUACUUGAACUUUACUUAAGUAUACUUAAUAAAAAACUUAAUAAAAAGUAUUUUAUUUUUUGUAAGAGAUCCCUUAAACUUGCUUUUUGUUUUCCCUGACAGAAAGUGAGUCGAAUCCCAUGGUCUCACCAGCCAAUCCUUUAUUGUUGGAUGAGCAUUUUGAGUUUUCAGGAACAACUCUAUCAGGCAAAGUCACUCUGUUUUGGAAGACUGCUACAGGACAUGCAUUCAGAGUAAAGUGCCAAGUUGCUUCAGUGUUUGGCAACCACAACCAACUGUUGCUGAUGCCAGUAUAAAGUGCAUGUUGCUGUGCUUACAAGAGGUGGUGACCAUAGACCUGCAUUACAUACUGACAGACAAGA